UAGAGGAAUAUUCUCAAAAUAUUAGCUUUUUAGCAGAAUACACUAAGAUUUUGUCCCUCUCAUUCUAAUAAGAACAUGUCUUUGUUAGCAGUGUCAUAGAAUUCUCCAGAAAGGCAAAACUACAACAGCACAGUUUGUCUGUGUGAGAGUACCAAGAAAAGGAAACUCUUAGAAAAACAGAAAUAGAUUUUUUUCUUGAAGGACUUACCUGAGUUGCCAAGAGAAAUGGAGGACUCAAGCUGAGAGCUUGUGAUACUGGGUUUAGGGAUCCCAGUGCUUAUAUAGGGAUUUUUAAUUGCACCUUUUAGCUAGACGUCUUUUGCAGACAACUCCCCAGGUGUAUAAUGGACUGAUUCAUGGCCAACCAAACCCCAUUCCACUUGUUUCUUCUCCAGCGGGCCUUUUAUCUCAGCAUUUCCUUGAACACCACUCCUGUUUUGUAUUCUCUGUCUGUACAGCUUGGCCCCUGAGGGACAGCUCCAUCUCACACCCACUGUGUGACCAUAGCCUCAUCAGAAUGUGCUGUCAAUGUGCUGAACUGGUCUCCAGAAAAAUCCUGAUGGAAAGUUGCUGAAUGUAGAGCCAUGGUGUGUAGUCAACAACUGCUUAUUGACUGACUGAUCAGGAUUGCAACUCCUACUGACCCUAAGAACAGACUGGAUUUGGCUAUUGGAAGUUGCAUUUGGGUCCUUUAUGUGAAAUUCAGGCUCCUGCUGGAAGCAGUGUGACAUCUCUGACUGAUGUCUCAGUGUCCUUGGAUCUUCCUUCCUUCAUCCUAAUUUAAGUUUUGAUAAACAUAGUCCUGUUACUGAGCGGUUGUAAAGUUGGAAAUAUAUAUUACUGUAUAUAAACCAGAGUAUGUCUUUUUUCUCUAUUUAUAAUCUUUGAGAGAAAAUUAUUCUUUCCUUUUAAGUGUAUUUAUUUAUGUAUAGCCUCUUCAGAUAGAUUUAAAGCUAUUUGUAAUAAAACACUAAAGAAUAAACGAGUAAUUUUUUAAAGUAGAAAAUUAUAACUAAGGAAAAAGAAGAAUUCAAAGACACCAACAGUGCAAUUGCUGUUAUUAUACUUGAGGCUUUCUGGUGUCAGUUCCAAAAUAUGGUCCUCAUGAUUGUAAACUGUCAUCCACUGUCAAAAACUGUCAUUCAUUUUAUGAGAAAAUAAAGCAUUUCUUAGGUUUAAAUUCUAAAAAAAAUACAUCUCAUGUGGGACUUUAUAAAGGUAUUCACUUCA
rnacentral:lncRNA from 1 species